GUCUACGGCCACGCCACCCUGAACAAGCCCGAUGUCUGAUCUCGGAAGAUAAGCAGGGUUGGGCCUGGUUAGUACUUGGAUGGGAGACCACCUAGGAAGACCAGGUGCUGUAGGCA
rnacentral:rRNA from 1 species